ACGCAGAACACGAUCACGCAGAAACUGAGGCUUAUUCUAAAAGCUGUCAGAUACAGUUCAACCUACUGUGACUUGAGGGAUGAUGUGUGAAAAGUUUGCUGUCAUUUAUAUGGAACUGAUGUGGAUGAACCAAUAUUUAGGAAGAUUGCAAGAAAAGGUGGCGCGACAUUAAAUACACACAUCAAAAAAGGCAGAGGAAAGACAAAACUACUGCAAGUUCUACUUGUAGUAAAGGCACUGAAUGGGAACUGACUGAUAUGUUCACGAUUUUACACAGAGUGGAUCAG